rnacentral:ncRNA from 1 species
AAGGAGGAAACCGAAAAUCCUGAAAAAAAGAGUAGGUG